UACGUAGGGCGCGAGCGUUGUCCGGAAUUAUUGGGCGUAAAGAGCUCGUAGGCGGCCUGUUGCGUCCGCUGUGAAAUCCCGGGGCUCAACCCUGGGCGUGCAGUGGAUACGGGCAGGCUGGAGGCAGGCAGGGGAGAACGGAAUUCCCGGUGUAGCGGUGAAAUGCGUAGAGAUCGGGAGGAACACCAGUGGCGAAGGCGGCUACCUGGACCAGCACUGACACUGAAGCACGAAAGCGUGGGGAGCAAACAGG
rnacentral:rRNA from 1 species